rnacentral:rRNA from 1 species
ACUCCUACGGGAGGCAGCAGUAGGGAAUCUUCCACAAUGGGCGCAAGCCUGAUGGAGCAACACCGCGUGAGUGAAGAAGGGUUUCGGCUCGUAAAGCUCUGUUGUUAAAGAAGAACACGUAUGAGAGUAACUGUUCAUACGUUGACGGUAUUUAACCAGAAAGUCACGGCUAACUACGUGCCAGCAGCCGCGGUAAUACGUAGGUGGCAAGCGUUAUCCGGAUUUAUUGGGCGUAAAGAGAGUGCAGGCGGUUUUCUAAGUCUGAUGUGAAAGCCUUCGGCUUAACCGGAGAAGUGCAUCGGAAACUGGAUAACUUGAGUGCAGAAGAGGGUAGUGGAACUCCAUGUGUAGCGGUGGAAUGCGUAGAUAUAUGGAAGAACACCAGUGGCGAAGGCGGCUACCUGGUCUGCAACUGACGCUGAGACUCGAAAGCAUGGGUAGCGAACAGGAUUAGAUACCCUGGUAGGAUAGG